UGGUUCUGGCAUNGAUGAAGAACGCAGCGAAAUGCGAAAAGUAAUGUGAAUUGCAGAAUUCAGUGAAUCAUCGAAUCUUUGAACGCACAUUGCGCCCUCUGGUAUUCCAGGGGGCAUGCCUGUCCGAGCGUCGUUGCAACCCUCAAGCAUGGCUUGGUAUUGGGCCCUUCGUCCCUAACGGGACGUGCCCGAAAAGUAGUGGGUAUCUGGUGAGGCUUUGGGCGUAGUAAGACUUUCCGCUCUGAAAGCUCUCCACCUCGAUGCCUAGGAGCAUAUUAGUACCGAUAAAUUGACCUCGGAUCAGGUAGGGAUACCCGCUGA
rnacentral:misc_RNA from 1 species